rnacentral:lncRNA from 1 species
AAGAAAAUUAAAGUUAUACAAAUUCUAUAGUAAUCCUUUUAAUCAACCUCUUCUCAAGGUAAUAAUCAAAUUAUAUUCUACAACCAACUAAAAUCUACUAACGUGGCUCUCACCAUGUUACUUAAUAAAUUAUAUAUUAAAUACAUAAUUACAUUAUUUUCAUAUAGUAGCCAAAUCACAACACGACACCGCUACUGCUGAAUGCUUACAAUUUCGAAGAACACUUAACUUU